UUUAUGGAGAGUUUGAUCCUGGCUCAGAGUGAACGCUGGCGGCGUGCCUAAUACAUGCAAGUCGAACGAUGAAGCUUCUAGCUUGCUAGAGUGCUGAUUAGUGGCGCACGGGUGAGUAACGCAUAGGUCAUGUGCCUCUUAGUUUGGGAUAGCCAUUGGAAACGAUGAUUAAUACCAGAUACUCCCUACGGGGGAAAGAUUUAUCGCUAAGAGAUCAGCCUAUGUCCUAUCAGCUUGUUGGUAAGGUAAUGGCUUACCAAGGCUAUGACGGGUAUCCGGCCUGAGAGGGUGAACGGACACACUGGAACUGAGACACGGUCCAGACUCCUACGGGAGGCAGCAGUAGGGAAUAUUGCUCAAUGGGGGAAACCCUGAAGCAGCAACGCCGCGUGGAGGAUGAAGGUUUUAGGAUUGUAAACUCCUUUUGUUAGAGAAGAUAAUGACGGUAUCUAACGAAUAAGCACCGGCUAACUCCGUGCCAGCAGCCGCGGUAAUACGGAGGGUGCAAGCGUUACUCGGAAUCACUGGGCGUAAAGAGCGCGUAGGCGGGAUAGUCAGUCAGGUGUGAAAUCCUAUGGCUUAACCAUAGAACUGCAUUUGAAACUACUAUUCUAGAGUGUGGGAGAGGUAGGUGGAAUUCUUGGUGUAGGGGUAAAAUCCGUAGAGAUCAAGAGGAAUACUCAUUGCGAAGGCGACCUGCUGGAACAUUACUGACGCUGAUUGCGCGAAAGCGUGGGGAGCAAACAGGAUUAGAUACCCUGGUAGUCCACGCCCUAAACGAUGGAUGCUAGUUGUUGGAGGGCUUAGUCUCUCCAGUAAUGCAGCUAACGCAUUAAGCAUCCCGCCUGGGGAGUACGGUCGCAAGAUUAAAACUCAAAGGAAUAGACGGGGACCCGCACAAGCGGUGGAGCAUGUGGUUUAAUUCGAAGAUACACGAAGAACCUUACCUAGGUUUGACAUUGAGAGAAUCCGCUAGAAAUAGUGGAGUGUCUGGCUUGCCAGACCUUGAAAACAGGUGCUGCACGGCUGUCGUCAGCUCGUGUCGUGAGAUGUUGGGUUAAGUCCCGCAACGAGCGCAACCCCCUUUCUUAGUUGCUAACAGGUCAUGCUGAGAACUCUAAGGAUACUGCCUCCGUAAGGAGGAGGAAGGUGGGGACGACGUCAAGUCAUCAUGGCCCUUACGCCUAGGGCUACACACGUGCUACAAUGGGGUGCACAAAGAGAAGCAAUACUGCGAAGUGGAGCCAAUCUUCAAAACACCUCUCAGUUCGGAUUGUAGGCUGCAACUCGCCUGCAUGAAGCUGGAAUCGCUAGUAAUCGCAAAUCAGCCAUGUUGCGGUGAAUACGUUCCCGGGUCUUGUACUCACCGCCCGUCACACCAUGGGAGUUGUGUUUGCCUUAAGUCAGGAUGCUAAAUUGGCUACUGCCCACGGCACACACAGCGACUGGGGUGAAGUCGUAACAAGGUAACCGUAGGUGAACCUGCGGUUGGAUCACCUCCUUUCUAGA
rnacentral:rRNA from 1 species